rnacentral:rRNA from 1 species
UAUGACUCUCGGCAAUGGAUAUCUUGGCUCUUGCAUCGAUGAAGAGCGCAGCGAAAUGCGAUACGUGGUGCGAAUUGCAGAAUCCCGUGAACCAUCGAGUUUUUGAACGCAAGUUGCGCCYGAGGCCAUCUGGUUGAGGGCACGUCCGCCUGGGCGUCAUGC